GUCCCUGGGCUGCAAUGGGUGAGUGCGUUCGUCUGUUAACCGAAAGGUUGGUGGUUCAAACCCACCCAGCGAUA
rnacentral:tRNA from 1 species